GAUGAACGCUGGCGGCGUGCUUAACACAUGCAAGUCGAACGGGAUCCAAGGGGUGCUUGCACUUUUUGGUGAGAGUGGCGAACGGGUGAGUAACACGUGAGUAACCUGUCCUUUUCUUUGGGAUAAGCAUUCGAAAGGGUGUUUAAUACCUUAUGUUCUGUCUGCCUCGCAUGGGGUGGGUGGGAAAGGCUUUGGCCGGAUUUGGGUGGGCUCGCGGUCUAUCAGCUUGUUGGUGGGGUGAUGGCUUACCAAGGCUUUGACGGGUAGCCGGCCUGAGAGGGUGGUAGGUCAAAUUGGGACUGAGAUAAGGCCCAGAAUCCCGCGGGAGGCAGCAGUGGGGGAUAUUGCACAAUGGGCGAAAGCCUGAUGCAGCGACGCCGCGUGGGGGAUGAAGGCCUUCGGGUUGUAAACUUCUUUUGCUCUGAACAAGGCAUGCCAGUGGGUGUGUUGAGUGUAGGGGUGGAUUAGCGCCGGCUAACUACGUG
rnacentral:rRNA from 1 species